UACGUAGGGUGCAAGCGUUAAUCGGAAUUACUGGGCGUAAAGCGUGCGCAGGCGGUUUUUUAAGUCUGUUGUGAAAUCCCCGGGCUCAACCUGGGAAUGGCAAUUGUGACUGUAAGACUAGAGUACGGUAGAGGGGGAUGGAAUUCCGCGUGUAGCAGUGAAAUGCGUAGAUAUGCGGAGGAACACCGAUGGCGAAGGCAAUCCCCUGGACCUGUACUGACGCUCAUGCACGAAAGCGUGGGGAGCAAACAGG
rnacentral:rRNA from 1 species